AACUUUCAGCAACGGAUCUCUUGGCUCUCGCAUCGAUGAAGAACGCAGCGAAAUGCGAUAAGUAAUGUGAGUUGCAGAAUUCAGUGAAUCAUCGAAUCUUUGAACGCACCUUGCACCCUUUGGCAUUCCGAAGGGUAUGCUCGUUUGAGUGUCAUUGUACUCUCACACUCCCGAUGCUUUUGGAUUGGGAGUGGUGGACUUGGGUGUUGCUGCUUUACUGUGGCUCACCUCAAAUGGAGUAGUGCAACUCUUGGUUGGACAUAGUACGGCGUGAUAAGUGUCUUCGCCGGCGCCUCAUUAGAGGGUGGCCGAUCGGGAGCUCUGUGCUUCAAACCGUCUUCGGACAACAUCUGACAACUUGACCUCAAAUCGAGUAGGACUACCCGCUGAACUUAAGCAUAUCAAUAAGCGGAGGCU
rnacentral:misc_RNA from 1 species